rnacentral:rRNA from 1 species
UGGGGAAUAUUGCACAAUGGGCGCAAGCCUGACGCAGCGACGCCGCGUGAGGGAUGAAGGCCUUCGGGUUGUAAACCUCUUUCACCAGGGAAGAAGCGAAAGUGACGGUACCUGCAGAAGAAGCACCGGCCAACUACGUG